CCUACGGGAGGCAGCAGUGAGGAAUAUUGGUCAAUGGACGAGAGUCUGAACCAGCCAAGUAGCGUGAAGGAUGACUGCCCUAUGGGUUGUAAACUUCUUUUAUAUGGGAAUAACAUGUUCCACGUGUGGGAUUUUGUAUGUACCAUAUGAAUAAGGAUCGGCUAACUCCGUGCCAGCAGCCGCGGUAAUACGGAGGAUCCGAGCGUUAUCCGGAUUUAUUGGGUUUAAAGGGAGCGUAGGUGGAUUGUUAAGUCAGUUGUGAAAGUUUGCGGCUCAACCGUAAAAUUGCAGUUGAAACUGGCAGUCUUGAGUACAGUAGAGGUGGGCGGAAUUCGUGGUGUAGCGGUGAAAUGCUUAGAUAUCACGAAGAACUCCGAUUGCGAAGGCAGUUCACUGGACUGCAACUGACACUGAGGCUCGAAAGUGUGGGUAUCAAACAGGAUUAGAUACCCCAGUAGUC
rnacentral:rRNA from 1 species